rnacentral:rRNA from 1 species
GCGUAAUAGCUCACUGGUCGAGUCGGCCUGCGCGGAAGAUGUAACGGGGCUAAACCAUGCACCGAAGCUGCGGCAGCGAACGUAUCACUUAAAGCGAUUCAGCGGGUUACGAUUGACGGAGCGAAGCGACGUCAAAGCGUAUACAAAGUCGAGUCGGUUUAAGGAUACGUUCGUUGGGUAGGGGAGCGUUCUGUAAGCCUGCGAAGGUGGCCUGUGAGGGUUGCUGGAGGUAUCAGAAGUGCGAAUGCUGACAUAAGUAACGAUAAAGCGGGUGAAAAGCCCGCUCGCCGGAAGACCAAGGGUUCCUGUCCAACGUUAAUCGGGGCAGGGUGAGUCGACCCCUAAGGCGAGGCCGAAAGGCGUAGUCGAUGGGAAACGGGUUAAUAUUCCCGUACUUGGUGUUACUGCGAAGGGGGGACGGAGAAGGCUAUGUUGGCCGGGCGACGGUUGUCCCGGUUUAAGCGUGUAGGUGUGUGUUCCAGGUAAAUCCGGUUCACUUUAACACUGAGGCGUGACGACGAGGCACUACGGUGCUGAAGCAACAAAUGCCCUGCUUCCAGGAAAAGCCUCUAAGCAUCAGGUAACAUCAAAUCGUACCCCA